ACGGCUCAGUAACACGUAGCUAACCUACCCUUAAGUCAAUGAUAACCUCGGGAAACUGAGGCUAAACUUUGAUAGGAGACAUACCCUGGAAAGAUUUGUCUCUCAAACUCGCGCUUAAGGAUGGGGCUGCGGCGGAUUAGGUAGUUGGCGGGGUAAUAGCCCACCAAGCCUGUGAUCCGUAAGGGCUCUUAGCGGAGAGGCCCUGAGAGGGAAUCUGAGACACUAUUCCCAGCCCUACGGGGUGCAGCAGUUAGGAAUCAUCUGCAAUGCGCGAAAGCGUGACAGUUUGAGCCAGAGCGCUUCUCACUUGAGAAGCUUUUGCCAAAUGUAAAAAGUUUGGCGAAUAAGGACUGGGUAAGACGAGUGCCAGCCGCCGCGGUAAUACUCGCGGUCCAAGUCGCAGCCAUCUUUAUUGGGUCUAAAACAUCCGUAGCUUGCCUGGUAAGUUCCUUGUGAAAUCUUAUCUCUUGAAGAUGAGGCGCGCAAGGAGUACUGCUAGGCUAGAGACCGGCAGACGCAGGAAGUAUGUUCGAAGUAGCGGUAAAAUGCAUUAAUCUCGAACAGACUCACAACAGCGAAGGCAUCCUGCGAGGACGGUUCUGACUGUAAGGGAUGAAGGCUAGGGGCGCAAAACGGAUUAGAUACCCGUGUAGUCCUAGCAGUAAACACUGUACACUAAACAUUAGUACCUCCUCGAGAGGUAUUGGUGCUGUAGCGAAGGCGAAGAGUGUACUACCUGGGAAGUAUAGUCGCAAGGCCGAAACUUAAAGGAAUUGGCGGGGGAGCAC
rnacentral:rRNA from 1 species